UCUUACAGCAGCAAAACAAGUUCCUAUGAAAAGAGGGUCUAAUGCAGAACUUCCUCCAAAGUGUGGGUCACUAAACUCGGAUGCUGAAUUGCACCAUAUGUUUGUAUGUAUAUAAGAGGGUUAGUACGGCAUGCUUGCAUAAUAGAUACUCGCUUGCAUUUGCACUCCUACCACAAAAGCACUAUGAAAGUCGUUUUGACAGCUAUCCUAGUGCUCUGCCUCUUGAGUGCUACAUUCGACAUAAUGGCCGCCCAAAGGCUCUCCGAGCGCAUUGAUCAAACAUUAUGCUCCAGAUCUUGUAGGUUGUUCUCUAGAGCACAUAGAGAAGGAUGUUGCAGACUCUACAACAACUGCUGCGGAAGAGGAGGAUAAGAAGUUUGCAUAUCAUCUCACUAUCGAAUAUGGAUUAUGUUUCGAAACCUAAGAACAUUUUGUACAAAUAUUUUGUAAAUAAAUAUUCAGUGUGUGUGAAACGUUA